GCUUUCGAGUAGUCAGACUCGAGCUAGCCUUUGCUGGAAGAUACACGUAAAUCGUUUGACGAUAAGUAUGUUCGUACAUUGUUCAAGAUUAUGUUUAUCAUUUGUCGUAAUAAGAAAGUUUGUUGCAUUCUGCGAACAUCCAGUGACGAUGCAGUCGGAGAAUCAUCGUGAGUAAAGGUAAAUAAAAGACACGGUGGAGUGGUACGUACGCUAUGUCGUCACAUCCUGAUGAUGCGACAGUGAAACUCUCGACCUCGAUCUUGUGACUGAGGUCGUAUAAUCAUGGUUCAUGGCAUAAUCAAACUCCUGGUGAUCGCAUACGUGCAUGGUUAACCCAUUGGCCGUUAAGAAUGUUAUGAAGACGUUAAAGAAUCUUGCAAUGACGGGAGCCUUCGAUGAUGAUGAUGUGUUGAGGGGGUUAAGGAUGACUUGGUUUUGGUGUCUCGAUGCUAUAAGACCGGGGAUCAAUGAUGAUGCAUGGGAACUUGGGAGUGGAGAUGACAGGUAAUCAAGAGAAAAUAGGUCGAGAUCACCAUGAAUUCGUCGAUGUUGACUUCGGAUCAUUGAUAAACUGGUCAACAAUCCUGAAACCUCAGAUGUAUGUAUGGCAUGGAGACAGGGACACUUCUCUCUCCAAUAGUGACUGCGUUUGUAUUUAAUAAAUUUUAGUCAUGGUACAUCAAAGCAAUGACAGAACCUUUGGUAUAUUUGGUAAAACACAAAUUCAAGUGCAAAGCUCUAAAUAACUCAUAAGGCCAUUAUUUAGAAAAUUAUCAGAGCCCAUAUCUUUGGGGUUGGUUUUCUCUAUUACAACAAGACUUCUCGAAUUGUGAUAGGUUUACUUUAAUUUGAUAUUUGAAACAAAUAGACAUUUGAAAUGGAAUCCUUUCAUAUUCGUUGUGCUGGGAAGAAAUGUCAUAGAAUUGCCACAUUUUCAUGCAACUCUGGUUGUCACGUAAUCAGUACAGCAUAUGGGAAAACGCUCGACAGUGUCCGAAUUUUCAUAUCAAGUAUUACCAUUGGAGAUAAACUCACAAAUAAUGGUAACUCUUUCGAUUCCGUCGCCCGCCGCCUUUCCCCUUCAAAUUUCUAAUUCUUCUUCAGUCGGACAGAGAAGUGUCACAAAGGGACAAAGAAGGGUUUCAAGUUUCGCAAAUCGUGUGAAUGUAAAAGAUUUCUUCCCCACUCCCCUUUCCUCGCUCUCACUCAAUUUCUCCAACAUCUUACAUUCAUCCCCUCCCCUCUCCCCUUCCUUUCCCCUUCCCUUCGUUUCUUCACAUUCGAUGGGAGUCGGUGCACCUCGUUUAGACCCACAUAAAUUACUCUAUUAUGCGCAUGUUUGAGUUCAAAUAGAGGAAAGAAAGCGAUGAAAGAAGAAGCGAUUGAGAGGCUUGGAUGGAACACACGAGCGACGUUGCAUCUCUCUCGGUCAACCCACCCGUAUCUUACCCCCUCAUUCUCCCAUCCGACGCAGCCUUUUCUACAUUACCAGAAAGUAAAGUGCUUACUUUUGCCUUAUAGUUUUACAUACAGGUUUAUCCUACGUUUGAUUAUUUUCACUUAUAUGAUUAACGUAGGAUCACUUAAAACAAUAUUUUUUUUGUAGAUAUUAGAUACAAAUUAAAUUGAAUUUAUCAAAAAAUUAAUGUACAGUUAUUACUAAAAUUGUAUAUUACAAUGAAGAUGAGAUAAGCAUGUUUAAUGAGGCAACGUACAUUCAUAUUUCAUUUUUGUUUUUACUGUUAAUAAUUUUGUUUGUUCUUUAUUGAGUGUUGGAAACAAAAUUUUGAUAACUUUAAACAUAUCUAACAACAGCGCACACUUAAAAUGUUCAGCAACAUACUGUCCAGUGUG